GCCGGAGUGGCGGAAUAGGCAGACGCCAGGGACUUAAAAUCCCUUGACCCUAAAGGUCGUAUCGGUUCGAGCCCGAUCUUCGGCACCA
rnacentral:tRNA from 1 species